GCGGCGGCCACUUGUGCGCCGCAUCCGGAGGGGUGGCCGCCAUUGUGCUUCGUCGCCGACUGCUCUGCUGUCCCCGUGGCCUGAGACCGAGAGCACCGGGAGAGGAGGAGGAGGAGGAGGCCCUGUGGCUGCGGUGAGCCCCACGCUCCCUGCGGUGUGCCAGCUGGAAGAGGGAAACCUUGAGCAUGGAGUCUAAACCUUCCAGGAUUCCAAGAAGAAUUUCUGUUCAACCCUCUGGCUCUUUAAGUUCUAGGAUGGUGUCUGGAAACAGAGGAGCUAGUUUAAAUGAUCCCUAUCACUCUAGAGACUCUUCCUUUAGACUGGAUUCUGAAUAUCAGUCUGCAUCAGCAUCUGCAUCACCAUUUCAGUCUACGUGGUAUAGUGAAUCUGAGAUAACUCAGGGAGCACGAUCGAGAGUACAGAACCCACAACGGGAUCAUGAUUCAAAAAGACCGAAACUUUCUUGUGCAAACUGUACGUCUACCUCCGCUGGGAGAAGUACUGGGAGUGGCUUAAGUGCAGUGUCAGAUUCUUCUUGGAGGCAUAGUCAAGUUCCCAGAUCUUCAUCAGUGGUACUUGGUUCAUUUGGAACAGACCUGAUUAGAGAAAGGAGAGAUUUGGAGAGGAGAACAGAUUCCUCCAUUAGCAAUCUUAUGGAUUAUAAUCACCGAAGUGGUGAUUUCACAACUUCAUCAUAUGUUCAAGAAAGAGUUCCUUCUUCAUAUUCACAGGGAGCAAGACCAAAAGAGAAUUCAGUGAGCAAUUUACAGUUGAAUUCAUCAUCUACCAAUCACCAAUUGCCUUCUGAACAUCAAACAAUAUCAAGUUCUAGGGACUCUAGCAGAAAUUCUUUCAGAUCACAUUUUUCUCCAAGACAAUCAGAAUCUUUUCGAAAUGCUUCACAUCCCACAUUUUCAUAUCUUUCAAGUAGAGAUGAAACCCCAGUUAUAAGCAAUUCAGAAAGGGUUAAUUCAUCUCGGAGACCAUUUCAAGAAUCUUCGGACAAUGAAGGUAGGCGUACUACUAGAAGAUUGCUGUCACGGAUAGCUUCUAGCAUGUCAUCAACUUUUUUUUCACGAAGAUCUGGUCAAGAUUCCUUGAAUACAAGAUCAUUGAGUUCUGAUAAUUAUAUUUCUCCAAGAACCUUGACUUCACAGUCUCGGAGUAAUGGAGCAUCAUCUUCUGAAGUCAGUGAUAGCAGGACAUCUGAAGCUUCUCAGGGAUUUAGAUUCCUUAGGCGAAGGUGGGGUUUGUCAUCUCUUAGCCAAAAUCAUAGCUCUGAACCAGAUGCGGAAAAUUUUAAUCAAGAAUCAGAAGGUAGAAGUACAGGACCGUGGUUGUCUUCCUCCCUUAGAAAUAGAUGCACACCUUUGUUCUCUAGGAGGAGGCGAGAGGGAAGAGAUGAAUCUUCAAGGAUAUCUGUGUCAGAUGUCCCACCUAGAUCUCAUCUUUUUAGAAGAGAAUCAAAUGAAGUGGUUCACCUUGAAGCACCGAGUGAUCCCCUUGGGGCUGCUGCCAACAGACCACAAGCAUCUGGGGCAGCAAGCAGUGUUUCUGCAGGUGGCCCCACACCAGAUUUGCCUCAAGGUGGAAGAAGUACAGGACUAGCAGGGAUUCUUCCUGGUUCCCUAUUCCGGUUUGCAGUCCCACCAACACUCGGAAGCAGUCUGACCGACAAUGUCAUGAUUACUGUAGAUAUUAUUCCUUCAGGCUGGAACGCAGCUGAUGGGAAAAGUGAUAAAGCUAAAAGUGCACCUUCAAGAGACCCAGAGAAACUGCAAAAAAUAAAAGAAAGCCUCCUUUUAGAGGACUCUGAAGAAGAAGAAGGAGACUUAUGUAGAAUUUGUCAAAUGGCAGCUGCAUCGUCAUCUAAUUUACUGAUAGAGCCAUGCAAAUGCACAGGGAGUCUGCAGUAUGUCCAUCAAGAGUGUAUGAAAAAGUGGUUACAGGCCAAAAUUAAUUCUGGUUCUUCAUUAGAAGCUGUAACCACCUGUGAACUCUGUAAAGAGAAGUUGCAACUUAACCUGGAGGAUUUUGAUAUUCAUGAACUACAUAGAGCUCAUGCAAAUGAACAAGCUGAGUAUGAGUUUAUCAGCUCUGGUCUCUACCUAGUUGUUUUACUGCACUUGUGUGAGCAAAGCUUUUCUGAUAUGAUGGGAAAUACAAUUGAACCAAGCACUCGUGUUCGAUUUAUUAACCUUGCAAGAACUCUUCAGGCACAUAUGGAAGAUCUCGAAAGUAGGUGGAAUUUCCCCUCCCCAGAUUUGUUGAAUUUACUUUUGCAAAUUAAACCCACAGAACAAAACCUUAAUGUACUCUUUUUUACCAAAUUGAAUUUUGGUUAUAGGCCUAAUACUACCACAGUUAACUUAUUUGAAUACUAUGGGUUGGAAAAUAGGCUCUAGGUUUUUGAACGUAUUUUUUUAAGUUAUGUUUAAUAUGUGAAAGGAGGUAAUUUUAAUCAUUAAUUUUCAGUAAACCACUUUGAUUUUACUAUAUGUGAUUAAAAGGAAAACAUAAAAUUAAGUCCUAUCUGUUAAGGGUUUUUAUUUUUAAUAUAUGAAAAAAAUUACUUUUUAAUUAAAUUCCAGAUCAUAGAAGUAAUUCUUUAGGUUUGUGUUUGGUUCCAGGAAAAUAAGGAAAAGAGGCUUGAGCCCAUAACAAAAUGGUUUUGCUUGUUCUUUGUUUACUUAAUAGGUAUUUCUUUGUGGACAGGCAGCUCAAAUUUCUUAGGGUCAUUUUGUCAUUCUCGUUAGGUGAAGACACCUAAUCCUAAAUCUUACAGGCAUUUCCACAACCUGCUGUCUAUCUUCUAAUGUAUUAUAGCACGUUCAUGGUGCUUCAUACCAGGCGAGGGCAAAAUUGGCUUUAGAACUACUUGUGGGGAAAAUUAAACCCAUCUGACCCCUGCCUGUUUGCUUUUCCCCCUCAGCAACAGGCUCCCUCCCAGUGCAGUCUCUGUUGUUUUCAUGUGGAUAGGCACUUCCACCUUUAGAACACCUCUUAUCUAGAAGAAAGCCUGGCAUCCUUUGAAGAUAAUAUGAGAAGGAUCUGUCCUCAUAAAACCUUUUACUUCUUUAAAUAUUCUAAGAUCUAGCCUUUGUAAGUUUUUAUGCUUGUACUAAUUUUAGGUUUUAACAGGAUUUAAGAGAAAAUCAGGCAGCACAUUCUUAGGUAUUUUUAUUAGCAUACGUGAAAGUAAAGGAGCUAGUUGGAAUUACUGCUUACUGUGAAUUUUUUCUUUAUGAUAUUAAUAAAAAAUAGCUCAUUGACUAAUACAAAAGUUCAGGUUUUUUUUCUGAAAAUUUUAAUUUCUGUUUUGGUAGGCUACUGUUGUGGUCAUUUGUUUCAGUGUUUUUUCCCCAAGCUUUCUCACUUUGAAAAAAGUAUUUUCAUUUAAAACAUAAUUUCCUAAGCAUAACAUGGUCUUUUUUCUGUAUGCAAGAGAGAAGAAAAAGCUAGAAGUAAAAUAUAGACAACUUUAGCUGACAGUGGAAGAUGGUGCGGCCUCAAAUGAAUCUCAAAUGACUGGAGUAUUGCUACAUUCUGAAAACUAGCCAAGUUGUAUCUUCCUGUGGAAUCAGUCACUAGAAACACGAUACUCCCUAAAACACAAUGCAGCAGUGUGAUAUGUAAACAUAGAGCAUCACAACAGGGUUUAUGUCAGUCAUGAGCUGGAUAUGGAUAGCACUUAUUUUAUGUAGAUUUUAUCCAUAAAUGUUAACAUUUUUCCAGCUCUUAGUUUGGGUUGAUCUAGUAUCCUAGAGAGCAUUCAUUAAGCUUUUUUGCUCUUGAUAAUAGUAAAGAGAUCAGUUGAUGUUUAUCUUAAAGAACUUAUAAAUCAGAUUACGUAUUGCAUAGCUUCUUCUUGCCUUGGCUAUCCCAAAGACAUUCCAGGAUGUUUUAUAUUAAAUAAUGGCCAUUGAGUAAAUUGAGGUAGGAGAUAUUAUAAAAACAAUGUUUCUGAGAAUUUGGAGACAUGGGGACAAUCUCAGCAGCAGGUUUUUUGUUGUUACUGGUUUUGGUUUGUUUUUUCUGAAGCCAAUUAUUUUAAGUUAGGCUGUGUCUAUAUAAAGCUUUACUUAAUCAAUAGAGCUUUUUCUUGGCAUUGUAUAGACAUAGCUGUGAUGUAAAUUGCAAGAACAUCCAUAACCUAUUAUUCUAUGUACAUUUUUUUUCAUUCUCAUCGGAUGCAUCAAACAUGCAGCGGUAAUAAGCCAGAUUCUACUCAGCUUCAGAGGAUGAGUCUGAAGAAGAUGGAGACCAUAACAGAGCAUUUGAUAUUGCC